AGUCUGUCUGCAGCGGGCGGGAACGGUCUUUUCGGCGUGGUGGAGGAGGAAGACGCCAGUGUUUGCGUUGGGAACUCUGUCUGGCGCGACCGAACGGUGGGGGCCGCGGGUAGGGCAGGCCGGGGCUCUUUGUCGACUGUCCGCACGGAGUCAGCACUGAGGUCGGGGGGUCGCGGCGGUUGGGGCCUUGGGCCCUGCUCGGAGCCUUUGCAGGCCGCGCGGGCUCCCGGUCGCUCUCGGGAGGUCCCGAGGAGAAUCCCGCCAGGAAGGUCCUCUAGGUGCCUUGUGCUCCCUGCCUACAUCUCUUAAGAGCGUUUAGAGGCUCUUGUCGGUCUGCCCACGGCGUGUGUUCGCACCGGUGGCUUGACACCACGUGGCCUCCAAACUUGGAGUCUCAUAAUUGGAAACCGCCAUACAGAAAACUGGGUAAGGCAGAGAGAAAGUGAUGGCUCAGUCGGAAGGGAACUCUGACUGCAUGACACCUGAUGGAGCUGACAACACUGGAAACCACAGUGAUGACUCAUCUGAAAGCUUAUUUAAAACACAGUACAUUCCUUUACCCACACAAAAGCAAAAGCAAAGAAAGCCUGCUGUAAAAUGUGUCAUUUCACCUGCGAACGUUGAAACUGACUCUUCAAGUGACUCCUCUAUAGAACCAAGGCCAUUGACUUUAAAGGCCAUUUUUGAAAGAUUUAAGAAAAAGAAACGGAAAAAGAGGAAAUACAAGCCAAAGUCGAGACCAAGGGAAAGACCAUCUGGAAUAAAGAACACUAGAAACCCUAGGAGGUCACAAAUAGAUGUGAAACAAAUUAAAGAUAAAGGAGCUGUGCUUCCAUUCUUAGAAUCUGAAAAUGGAAGAAAACCCUUACCUUGGAAGAAAAUUUUAACAUAUGAGCAAGCUGUUGCAAGAGGAUUUUUUCACCACAUUGAAAAACUCAAGUAUGAGCACCAUCUUAAGGAAUGCUUGGAACAAAUGCAUGCUGGGGAAGAUUUAGAAAAGGAAGACUUUGACAGCCGGAGACACAAGUACAUGGAUGAUGAUGGUCCUCUUUCUCCCAUUGACGAGCCAUUAACAGAAGACGAGGAGGCAACAAGUCCUGAGUCUGAAUGCGAUAUCAAAUUGGUUCAAAAUAGUUGCUUCAUAAUAAACUCAGAAUUUCCAAAGAGAAAUUUAGAACAAAAGAAGACCAAGAAAGAAUCUGCAUUCUCUAAAAAAAACUAAGGAUAAACAUAACUGCACUAGAGAGUACGCUGAACGGCCUGGAAAGGAGAUGUACAUCUGACUUAUCAAAGAAGGCUUUAUGAAGUCAGAAUUGAAGAUACCCAUGAAGGGAUGUUUGUUUCAAUGUAGUAAGUGACAUAUUGUCAAUUUAUAUCUUCAGAGUUGUGUGAAAGGGGAGUGCUCCAGCCUUCAGUAAAUCCUGGAGCGUGGUCAAGCAUGAAUAUUUAGAAAUAAUUUGAAAUGAGAAGUUUAACAGGUGAAGGCUAUAAGGCCUCAUACUGAAGUUAAAAUAUUACCUAUAAACGUUCUGAAACGUAUAAUCUCAAAUACAGGUGGUAGCACAAACCUUUAAACCCAGCACUCUGGAGACAGAGGCGGGCAGAUUUCUAUGAGUUCAAGGCUAGCCUGGUAUAUAAGAGCUAGUUUCCAGGACAGCCAGUGUUGGACAGAGAAAACCCUGUCCUAAAAACAAACCAAAAUAAAUUAGCAAAUAAAGUAAUAGUAUAUGUGUACUGGUGAUUAGAACAGUUUGGUAAAGAAUUCUUACCAUGUGGUAAGCUGAUUAGUAUUUGAGAAUACAGCCCUCUAAGAGCCUAACUCUGUUCUGUGAUGACUUUGUGAUUUCCUUCAGCUCCUAUUUGUAGAUGUUCAUAUGUAGGCUUCACACUGAUUGCUUUUUGAGGUCUAUCCCGAUGGGGCUUCCUCAGUAGCCACACAUCGUUGGAAACGCCUCAUAUAGUAACUUGUGGUUGCUUGACUCACAGGGCUGCUCGUGGUUAGGUCUGUGAAAGAAACUACAAGACAUCUAAAAUGUUUGAAGCAAUAAUAUAUCACCUUUUCUUUUAAACUUCAGGCCCUGGUAUGCCUUCACAAUGAUUAGUAUGAUGUUAGGAAUGAGUAAGCAGAACUGUUCAAACACACUGGGUGUCAACAAGUGAGAGGCCUGGUUUAAAAUGGUUCCUAAAGUAAAUUGGUUUGAAGAAGGCACCAGAAUUGUUACGGUGAAAAACUGAAUUAGUCGUGAGUGUUCUGGCUUAACUUCAAGGAGAGAUGAGAACAGAAGG